rnacentral:rRNA from 1 species
AGAGUUUGAUCCUGGCUCAGGAUGAACGCUGGCGGCGUGCCUAAUACAUGCAAGUCGAACGCACUGAUUUUAUCAGUGAGUGGCGAACGGGUGAGUAAUACAUAAGUAACCUGCCCUCAUGAGGGGGAUAACUAUUAGAAAUGAUAGCUAAGACCGCAUAGGUGAAGGGGUCGCAUGACCGCUUCAUUAAAUAUCCGUAUGGAUAGCAGGAGGAUGGACUUAUGGCGCAUUAGCUGGUUGGUGAGGUAACGGCUCACCAAGGCGACGAUGCGUAGCCGACCUGAGAGGGUGGACGGCCACACUGGGACUGAGACACGGCCCAGACUCCUACGGGAGGCAGCAGUAGGGAAUUUUCGGCAAUGGGGGAAACCCUGACCGAGCAACGCCGCGUGAGGGAAGAAGUAUUUCGGUAUGUAAACCUCUGUUAUAAAGGAAGAACGGUAUGAAUAGGAAAUGAUUCAUAAGUGACGGUACUUUAUGAGAAAGCCACGGCUAACUACGUGCCAGCAGCCGCGGUAAUACGUAGGUGGCGAGCGUUAUCCGGAAUCAUUGGGCGUAAAGAGGGAGCAGGCGGCAAUAGAGGUCUGCGGUGAAAGCCUGAAGCUAAACUUCAGUAAGCCGUGGAAACCAAAUAGCUAGAGUGCAGUAGAGGAUCGUGGAAUUCCAUGUGUAGCGGUGAAAUGCGUAGAUAUAUGGAGGAACACCAGUGGCGAAGGCGACGAUCUGGGCUGCAACUGACGCUCAGUCCCGAAAGCGUGGGGAGCAAAUAGGAUUAGAUACCCUAGUAGUCCACGCCGUAAACGAUGAGUACUAAGUGUUGGGGGUCAAACCUCAGUGCUGCAGUUAACGCAAUAAGUACUCCGCCUGAGUAGUACGUUCGCAAGAAUGAAACUCAAAGGAAUUGACGGGGGCCCGCACAAGCGGUGGAGCAUGUGGUUUAA